rnacentral:misc_RNA from 1 species
UACGGAGGGUGCAAGCGUUGUCCGGAAUCACUGGGUGUAAAGGGUGUGUAGGCGGAGCUUCAAGUCAGAGGUGAAAGCCCACGGCUUAACCGUGGAAUUGCCUUUGAUACUGUAGCUCUUGAGUUCCGGAGGGGUGGCUAGAAUUCGUGGUGUAGCGGUGAAAUGCGUAGAUAUCACGAGGAAUACCAGAGACGUAGGUGGGCCACUGGACGGAAACUGACGCUGAGGCACGAAAGCGUGGGGAGCAAACAGG